rnacentral:ncRNA from 1 species
CGGCCCGAGGGGUGCUGCGACGGAGCCACGCUCCGCCACGCUCGGUCCGCGAUGCCGAGCAAGGGCGCCCUCCCGCA